rnacentral:rRNA from 1 species
AGUGAACGCUGGCGGUAGGCCUAACACAUGCAAGUCGAACGGCCGCACAGUAAGCGCUUGCUCUUACUGGUGGCGAGUGGCGGACGGGUGAGGAAUACAUCGGCUUCUACUUUUUCGUGGGGGAUAACGUAGGGAAACUUAUGAUACUACAGCAUACUACCUACCGGUUAAAGCAGGAGUUCUUCGCACCUUUCGCGUUUGUUUUAGCCGAUGUCGGAUUAGCUAGUUGGCGGGGUAAAGGCCCACCAAGGCGACGAUCCGUAGCUGGUCUGAGAGGAUGAUCGGCCACACUGGAACUGAGACACGGUCCAGACUCCUACGGGAGGCAGCAGUAGGGAAUAUUGGACAAUGGGCGCAAGCCUGAUCCAGCCAUACCGCGUGAGUGAAGAAGGCCUUCGGGUUGUAAAGCCCUGUUGUUAGGAAAGAAAAGAAGCAGAUGAAUACCCCGCUGUUCUGACGGUACCCAAAGAAUAAGCACCGGCUAACUUCGUG